AAGUAUUUUAAAGGGGUUAUUAAGGAUAACUAGCAAAUUUAUAAAAAAGGAGGCUUAAGCCAAAAGUCAAUCAUGCUGAUAAGAUAAAAAUAAAAUUUUAUUAAAUCGGUUCGUGACAUGUGACGAUCCUAAGGGAAACCUUAUUAUUAUUACUUCCUGAAGUAAAACAUUUCAUUAGGGAAAGGAAAGGAAAUCAACCGAGACUCCGAAAGUAAUGGUGAGUGAAAUCGGAUUAGCCUAAAAAUAGGUUUAUAAAAAAAAAAUCUUGUAUGAAAUUUAUUUCGCUUUUAAUUAAUUUAAUUAAUUGCAAUUUAAUAAGAAGGUUUUGGAAAUCCGAAAGAUUAUUAGUUAAGAAAUAAAUGUAAUUAAGAAAUUCAUUAAUUUAAAAUUAAAAUUCUAUAAUUAGAAAUAGUAAUAGAAAAUUAAAACUAAAUUAAAACAAUUUAAAAAAAGGUUAGUCUAUCUAGUUAUUAUGAGAAUAAUUAUUAGGUGGUCAGUGUAAGUCCUGUAUUUUUAUAAAUUCUAUAAUUAAUUUACUAUAAUUUAAUUUUAUAAUUAUUUUAUGGAUAAAUAAAUUAAUUUUUUAAAUAUAAUUAAUUUUCACAUUAAUAUAUUUAAAAUAAACAUGAAGUACGAUGAGAGAUAACUUGUCGGAACAUAGGGGAACCAUCCUCUAAGGCUAAGUAUUUAUAAAUUUAGCGAUAGUGAAAAGUACCGUAAGGGAAAAGUUGAAAAGAGCGAGGGUUGAAAAAUAGAAAUAGAAAAGAUAAAUAAUAAAGUAUAUUUAUUCACCCUUGUACGUACAUAACGCAGUGAAAUAGACUUGAAUUAGUAACUCUAUAAGCAGUCGAAAUUUUAAAACAAAAUGACGGCGUACCUUUUGCAUAAUGGGUCAGCAAGUUAAUAGGAGUAGCAAGGUUAAAAACCCUAGCGAAAGCGACUGGAUCAAUAAAAUGAUGAUGGAUAAGUUACUUCUAUUAGACCCGAAGCCAGGUGAUCUUUCCAAGACCAGAUUAUAAUGGAUCGAACGGGUGAAUGUUGCAUAAUUCUCCGAAGAGUUUUGGAAAGCGGCGAAAUACCAAUCUGACCUGGUGAUAGCUGGUUUUCUACGAAACAUAUUUAAGUAUGACAUCUACACAAAAUUUAUGAAGGUACAGCACGGCAAUCCCAACUAAGUUUUAGUAUUUUUAAUUAUUUAAUUAUAAUUAUAUUAUCUAUUAGGCGUUUAGGUUGCGGGGACCUCGAAAAUCUUACCAAUGGAAGUGAAUCUCGGAAUUACAUAAAUUGGUGGUAGAUAUUCAGACUGCUCAUGCUAAGUUGGGUAGUCAAGACGGAAACAGCCGAGAACACAGAAUUAAGGUCCCGAAUGAUUAUUAAGUGAAAUUAAGGAAGUAACAAAUUGAAUGCAGCUGUAAAGUGAGCUUGGUAGUAGCUUCUUAUAAUGAUCGUGUAACAACGCAUCAGCCCUUAGAUUGUUGCGCCGAAAAUUUAACGGGUCUAAAAUAAUCAACCGAUAUCGUGUUAAUUUUAAAUAAAUAAGUAUUAUGUCUUAUAAUUUAUAAUUCUAUAUAUAAUUUUGUUAUAACAGAUUAAUUUAUUUUUUAAUAUUUAUUUUAUUUUGUUUUAUAUAUAUUAAUUUUUUAAUUCCCUUAAAUGAAUUAUAUAAAAAUAUUUAAAUUUAUAUGAAAUAUUUAAUAAUAUUUUAAAUAGUUUAAAUUACAUAUUGAAAUAAUUUAUAAUUAAAUCAUAAUAUUUUAAUAGUAUUUUUAUUUAUAAUAAUCAAUUUUGAUUAAAAUAAAAAUUAAUAAUAUUAAAAUUAUCUUAUAUAUUUAAAAUCUAGGUAGUAGAACAUUCAGAUAAUUUAAUUAACCAAUAAUUAACAGUGUUUCAUUGUAUAUAGGAAUCUGAAGAGAUAAUGCUGACAUGAGUAACGUAAAAAGAAAGCAAAAAGAGAAUAUUUAAUAUGUUCUCGGAAGAAAAACUUUCUCGCCGAAUACGAAAGGGUUAUUAGCUAAAGAUUAAUUCGACUAAUGUUAAAGCGGCCUCUAAGGUUCAAAACCAAUGUUUUGACUGAUGAGUAAAUAUCUGAAAGUCCUAAGUGGAGAAUUUAAUUAAUGACACAGGAAAGAAGUUUUAAUAUUAAAAAAAAUUAAGCCAAAUUAAAAAUAAGCAAUUAAUUUUAACUGGUUUAAUAAUAUUAUUAUGGAAAGAAGAUUAUUCUAAUUAAAAUUAGAAGUAAUUUUAUGAAUAGUAUUGAAUUGUCCUGAAAACUUUUAAUUGAAUAAUUGAAGUAUGUUAUUUAUUAAAUAUUGGACCAGGAAAAUAAAGAUAAAACUCAGUGUAUUAAAUAAAUUAAGUACUUAACUUUUUAGGACUUAUUGAAUGAAUAUUCUAUGAGUAAACUAUCAAAAAUAAUUAUAUAUAAAUUAUAAAAAAUAUUUCGGAAUGUCAAACUGAGAUACACUUUUUAUUAAGAUAUAUAUAAAUUAAGUUUAUAAUAGUCGAAAGAAUAAAAUCGUUAUUUGUGAAAUAGAUUAAUCUUUGUUUAUUAAUUCUCUCUAGAAGAGAUAUUUACACUUGAGUCUACCGUACCCUAAACCGACACAGGUUCGUUGGUAGAGUAUACUAAGGCGUAGAGCUAAAAGUUGUUAAGGAACUCGGCAAAUUAACCUCAUAAGUUCGACGACAAGAGGAACCACUUUUUGAAUAAAUAACUCCAUUGGAAUAUUUUCUAAUUAUUCUCUUAAUAGUGGUGGCACAAAAUCGGAAGCCCCGACUGUUUACUAAAAACACAACUAUCUGCAAUGAUGUAAAUCAUAGUAUAGGUAGUGAGGUUUGCCCGAUGCCAUUAAUAUAAGAGAGGUAAUGGGUAACUGUUACUUAUCGAAAGUCUGGUUAAUAGCGGUCUUAACUAUGAGGAUCCAAAGGUAGCAAAAUAAAUUGGCCAUUAAAUGUGGUCCGGUAUCAAUAAUUUAACGAUGGCUUCACUGUCUCUACAACUUGCUCAGUGAAAUUGAAUUACCCGUGCAGAUGCGGGUUGCCUCCAGGGGGACGGGAAGACCCUAUGCAGCUUCUACUGUAGUUAGUUAUCACAUUAAUCUACAACAACCUUGGUUAAUAUUAAUUAGGGAUGUCGAUAGACAAUAAUUGGAAAACCUCUAAACUAAGGUUGGGUUAAUGUUUACCUUUUCAUUUUAAAAAAAUAAGAGGGAGAGUUGACUAAUUGGCAGUUUGACUGGGGCGGUCGUCUUUAAUAGAGUAGCAAAGUACAUCCAAAUAUUUAAUAAAUUAACUAGAUCAUAUUCAUUGAUUAUUUAUAAUUUUUGAAUAUUCUGACAAAUAUCAUUCUAUUGUGAUUCUUAUCUUUUUAUUUUUUAUAUAAAUUUAAUUUAUUUUUGUUUAUAUAUUUUUUUAUAAUAUAAGAACACUAAAAUAUCAACUUUUUAUUUUUUUAUAAGGUAUAGCUAGAAAUUGAAUGGAGAUCAAUUAACCAGUGAAAGGUUAUGCAGGGCGCAAUGGCGGUAAGCAUGCUUAACUGAAAGACUUAAAAGUCGCACAGAUACGUAAGUAGGGCAUAGUGACCCCUCGCUAUAUAAUGGAAUAGACGGGGAUCAAUUGAUAAAAGUUACGCUAGGGAUAACAGGCUGAUAGCCGGCGAGAGUACACAUUGUCCCGGCUGUUUGGCACCUCGAUGUCGACUUAUCCUAUCCUCCGGGGGAAGAAGCUUGGAAGGGUUCGGCUGUUCGCCGAUUAAAAGGUUACAUGAGUUGGGUUUAAUACGACGUGAGUCAGUAUGGUCCCUAUCUUCUGGAGGGAUAAAUAGUAAAAAGGGGCAGACCUUCUAGUACGAAAGGAUCAAUAGGCUGUGUUUCUCUAGUGUACCAAUUGUUGAUUUCAAAUUGACGUAGUUUGUUGAAUAAAGUAAACUUACUAUUGUUGGUUAAUUGGCAUAGUUGGGUAGCCACAAACAUAUAGAUAAGCGCUGAAUGUAUAUAAAGCAAGAAACUAUCCCCUAGAUACUAUUACGGAUUGCUCUUUGACUCUAUCUUUGGAUUGGUAGUAAUAAUUCC
rfam:Serpula lacrymans var. lacrymans S7.3 unplaced genomic scaffold SERLA73scaffold_48, whole genome shotgun sequence.